rnacentral:lncRNA from 1 species
CAAAGAUUCAGGGAUAUAUGAUCUAUAUUAUGCAGAAUAAGUCAGCAAUAUGAAACCACCACCUGGUUAUUAGUUUUCUCCAAGCAAGUUGCAUUUGUCAACCGAUGACUAAUAUUCUGUAAGAAUAGAGCAAACCAGCAAAUUCCAAACAGCAGAUGCUAUGUUGUUUAGAUCUCAUCUCAUGUGGCUCAUUCACUUGAAAAUUAGCCAACUAAGUAGUAUGAGAUUUAGAUCUCUUCAUAUGGCAUGAAAUCCAAAAAAAAAAAGUUCAUACAUCCAUAUUGUAGUAGGCCAGACUUACCUAUCUCCUUAGCAGUUGAGAUAGCAUAACUAGAAGAUGCAUCUUUUGUGUGGUCUUUAGGAUCUGAAAAAGGUGUUGAACAAAGAACUGUUGAUCAAGUGGCUCUGGAGCAGGUUUCAUGAAUCUGCACCAAGAAAUGGUGGUAAUUCCAGCAGUGCUUGCUACUGUUGCUGAGGCAACACUCCAGAAUUCCUGAUGCGUCUUUGUUAGAAUUAUCUGCGCAAAUAUCACAUUAAGUUCAAUUGCAAUUCUAGAUAUAUCUUCAUAGAUUGAGCAUGCUGCAUUUAUGAAAUGCCCAAUUGCAUCUUUUCUUAGUUGCUGCACAUAUUGGGCAGACCUGGAAUGGAAUGGUCAAAAAAACCAUCAAAUUGCCACUGAGAAUUGAAAACCAAGAGAAUCAGCAUCCAAGAAAAAAUCAAUACUAUUAUUAAUAUAGAUGUAAUCCAUGCCUGGCUCCUGUUUAAUAAGGUACUUGUCGGUUUCUUUCGAAUUAUUGGUUUGUGGUCCCAUGCAUCAAUGAGUUUGUGUGGUUACACUUACACAAUACCGUAUCACUCGAGCUUUUUCUAAACAAAUCCAGUGGGGAAAAGAAACAUGCCGCUGUAUUUGGGCUUCCGUUGCUAUUCAUUCUAAUAAAUCAAUACUAUUAUUAAUAUAGUUGAGCUUAUUCUAGAGUCCAUAGGGUUUCUUUUGUUCCCUUUUAUUAUAGAUUAAAAUUAACAAGAAAACAUUCUGGGUUUGAAUGUUCUGUCUAUAAGAUUAUUUAGUGGGAAAAACAUUAUGGUUACAAUAUAUGAUGCAGUCUAGUAGUUGUUUCACUUGCAAACAACUUGGAUGGAAAUUUUUCUUUUUUUGCAUAAGAAAUCUAAGUGGUUAUGGGGAACUUGUUCUGUGAGCUAUUGCAUGUUGUGGCUCAAUGUUUUCCAAUAGUUUGGCUGCAUCCUCAAUCAUUUUGCGUCUAUUUAAUUCUCUUUUAUUCGACCAUAUGAGAUUAAAAUCAUAAGAUUGACAUGGGUAUUCUGGUUUAGCUCUUUACAUGUCAAUUUCGUGAUUAUUUUAGCACAAUUUUCAUUUAUAGUUAAGAUUAAGAAUUAUGGAUAAAUAUGGAUGCUUUAAUUAGCCCCGUCUCAACGCGAUUAUUUAAUUGGAUAAUAUAUGCAUUGAGGGUCAACUUUAAGGUUUUGGAUCUCUUUUUAUGCUAAACAUUGACAUAUUCUAUAUGAAUCCUUCUAAGAAUUUUAUGAACAAAAGUGCCAUUUAUCUGUUUUGCUCUUCUAUAUAUGAAUGAUAUGGAGAAGAGUUUAUGGACAUAAAAUUUUUGUCUCAGUUAAAUAAUUGAUGAAUUUUAAUGAAUGGAAUCACCAAAGUAACUUUUAUUAUAUUUAUUGAAUUAUUUAAUAAGGAUUCUGAGAUGUUCAUGUUUCAAAGUUCUGUGUUAGUUUUCAGCUUGAAUUUUUAUUAAAAGUUGAAAUUGCUUUUUGAUAUAUGAACCUUUGGUAGUAUUAUAAUUACUGAUUGUCUUCUUGGUUCAUCUACUUGUGAAGAAUAUGCCAUCUACCUGUGAAAUUGCGUUUUGAUAUAUGUGCAUCACUUUGUCUUCUUGGUAUUAUAAUUAAGAAGAUGUUGUUGUUGUCGUCGGAAACACGCAGAUCAUAUGUAAUUUGUUUGACGACCAAUACUAUAUAUAUGGUUCACUUCAAGGGAUGUUUUAUGAUUACUAUGUUUACACUGUUCCAUAUUUGGGAUGCAUCUUUCCUUUUCAGCGUCUAAAGCCUAUUAUUGGAUUGAAGGAAACUUGAAUUUAAGAUCGAAAUUGAAUUUUGUGCCAUAAAAAGUCAAUAAUUUUUUUUUUGGAGUGAAUUACUGUACUACAUCAUUCUUGUUAAUCAUAAGUUGGUGAGUUUUUCUCCUUCAAGGACUUUACUAUUGACAGGUAGCUCAUUCAAUUGAUUUAUCAAACAAACUGUUUUAGAUCUUUCAGGUGACUCUUGUCAACUCCACAAUCCAAAUGUAAUCACCUACCUUUUACAUUUAUGAACAAUGCUCAAAAGUCCCAUAUAGGUUAUAUACACUUGAAAAGACUAUACUCCCUCCGUCCCACUUUGAUAGUCCUGUAUUCCUUUUUCAUCUGUCCCAAAUUUAGGGGUGGCAAUUCGGGUCCAAAUCAGGUUGGCGGGUUGGGUCUGACCCGACCAGUCAGAAAAUCUGUUAACUCGAACCCGAUCCGCCAACCAGUGACGAGUCAGGUAUACUGACCCGAAUCUGAAAAUUUCAGGUUGACGGGUUGGCGGGUCGAUCCGAAAUGACCCGAAACUUAAUUUUAAUUUAUCACUGUAAUUUCUAAUAAAAUUAAUUUCUCACAAAACUAAUUACAUAAUCAAGUAAUAAAAAUUUAAAUAAAUAAUUCCAAACCAAAUCUAAAAUAAAUUAAACACCAUAAAAGUGUUUUAUCCCAAACAAAAUAUAAAAUAAAUUAAAACAGUAUAAAAGUGAAAAAUAAUAUAAUAUAUUAUUUGUCUAAAUAUAAUAAUUUCAACUUCACACAAAUUAAAUAAAUUCAUUUAGGAUUAAGUAAUUAAUACCUUUGAAAAAAAGAAUAACUUAGUUUAGUUAGAUUAAAUUAUUUUUAUGUUUAUUAAAUUAUUUUUAAUUCGUAAACGGGUCAUAUCGGGCCAUAUCAAGUCAUCACGGGUUGACCCGAAAUCGACCUGUUUUCUUUUCGAGUUCAUCGGGUUCAACCCGAUUCUGACCUGAAUUCCCGAAACCUCAACCCAAACCCAUUAAUUUCGUGUUAGGUUCGUAUCGUGUUUUCAGGUCGUGUCGAAAAUUGCCACCCCUACCCAAAUUGUAGUCCAUUUUCCAAUUAAAGAAUGUAGUUGUAUUUUAAUUUUCCUAAAAUACCCUUAUUCAAUGUAAGUAGUUGUUACUAUAAACCUAUCCCAUUUAAUAAGAGUUGAUUCUUUUUUUACCAUCAAUUGAAGUUCCCAUAAAGUUGUACCAUAUUUAAUAUGAUGGUAUUUUAGAAAAAUAGCAAUCUAAAUUUACUUUUCCAACAAAGUUAACUACUUUUUCUUAAACUGUGUGAAAAAAGAAACAGGACUAUCAAAGUGGGACAGAGGAAGUAAUUUAUAAUCGUAUAGUUGGGCACACCAACUUCCAUUUGCAUAAUUAAUGGUAAAGCAAUAAUGCACUGGAUGUACGAAUCCGAACCCAGGUAUGGUUUAAAUCGAGGCCUUCUAUCAUACAACAAAAAUUUAUACGUCCCACAUAUGGCAUCGAAAACAUUAUACAUAACAUGAUUUGAAUCUUAUAUCUUCUUUUUUAGAUCAAUCUUAUCUCUUAACCUUUCAGGGAUGGUCACAUUAGCAACCUUUCCUAUCCAAAUUCGACACACAAUUUCGUCAAAAUUUCAGGAAGAAAACAAUAACAAGGAGAAAAUGAAUAAAUGACUCGAGCAAAGCUACAUAGGUCUUUAACUAAAGCUGAAAUUUUGAUGCAGUAAAGAGCGAUCGAGCAUGGGGUUUUGUUUCCAAUUCUCUGUUGAAUGAAAGUUCUUGUUACUUGGGGAAUUUUGCAUGUUCAGUUAUUGGGUAGUACCGCUGAAUAAUAGGAUACUCAUGAACACGAAAUGGGCCGACCCAAAAUCUUAGUCUCAAGCUAUUUUAUGGCGUCAUUCUGAUUGAGACGCCAGUCUAGGAGAGCAUGGGGCCACAAAAAGUUGGGGAAAAAAAAAAAAGGUUUCUAGUGGGGCCCUGGGGAAGAUUUUGAUUUUUGAGUGCUCUCUGCUUGUGAACUGUGAACUGCUUGGGUGAGAAUUAUUUAAACGAGUAUUAGUUUUAUUUUUGUUUAAUAAUUGGAUUUAAAUACGGUACUUUUUUUUUUUUUUUUUUUUUUUCAAUGAUAGAAUUUAGACACAAGUUUAAUUCAGGACAGAAAUUUCCGGGACAUUGCGCUAUAAAGAUAGAUUGGCAACUUAACUAUCAAAGUUCUAAAGGACGUGUCAAAACAAACGGAGGGUCCCGCAUGCCGAUUCACCCCGUAACAAAGUUCCAAAGAAGUGUCAAAACAAACGGAGGAUGCCAAAACAAACGGAGGGUCCCGCAUGCCGAUUCACCCCGUAACAAAGUUCCAAAGUGUCAAAACAAACGGAGGGUCCCGCACUAUCUUAUAUCUGAACUUUAAAUACACAUCUUAUAUUUGCCUUAUACUUGACUAUUUACUAGGGGUGGGCACGGGUCGGGUACCCGCCCCUAACAUGAUUUGGCUGACCCGACCCUAAUAUAUCGGAUCAGCCAUUUUGCGACCCUAACCCGUUCCUAAUAUUUUCGGGUACUCGAAAAAAAGGGGCGGGUCAUAGGGUACCCGCCCCUAAAAAAAAACUAUUUUUCAAUAAAAAAAAUUUAUUUUCUACUUAAUAUCAACAUGUUUUUCAAUAAAAAACAUGCUUUUCCAAUUAAUAUUGGUAGAGAUAUUGUAAUUAAAGUCCAUACAUCACCAUUUUCACACAUUUUAUCCAAUAAUCAAAUCGAUCUCAUAAAUUUAGUACAUAUUAGAAUAUCUAAUGGACAAAACGAAGUUUCAUAAUAAUUUUGAGUACAUCACCAUUUUCACACAUUUCAUACUUCUACAACACAACAAACAUAAGGAUAAUAAGUAUUUGGUAACUUCUCCAAGGAUAUUAUGGUACAAGACCGCAUCUCAAAUAAGUCAAUUGUGAAAUCAAGUUCGGAAAAGAAUUGAAUAGAACUAAUUAUUUUUGAAAAAAAUAUAACCAAAAUAAUGUUAAAAAUCUUCCCCAACUUCUUUACAUCUUUGGAAUAGACCUUAUGGUAUUAAGGUGAUGAAAAAGAAAAAUAAAUUUCUUACACUAAAUAAAAGAGACAAAUUUAAGACAUAUAAUUGCAAAUGAAUGACACAAAUAUUUUAAUUAUCUAGCUAACAGAAAAUUGAGACUCCAAACAAAAAUCUUUGAUUGAAUUGAUGCAAGAUUUGCAGGAAAGAUCGAUGGAGGUAGAAUAAAAAUAAAAAAGAUGAAAGGGAUGAACAAUUUUUAUAACAAAGUUUCACAAAUUUUUUUUUUCAUUUUGUUCAUAUUUCACCGAGAAUAUUCACUUUCUUCAAAAAAAAAUGAGAAGAGUAGAUCAUAUAGGAUUAGAAUAUGAGGCUGCGAGCCACUUCACUUGCACUUAGGAUUAAAAAUUACAAAAUUAUAAAAUGAUCCCUACUUUUUUAAUAUUUAUAAAAUAUACCCUGCGGGUCGGGUACCCGCGGGUUUUUAUUUUUCUGAUCCGUAUCCGUACCCGAUUUUUCGGGUACCCGACCCUCAUCUGCCCCGCUAAGAAAAAUCGGAUCGGGUAUCCUAUUUUUCGGAUCGGAUCGGAUCGGGUUCAUCGGGUUUUCGGAUCGGCGGGUUUUUUUGCCCACCCCUACUAUUUACUAGAAAUUUAACAACAGCAUAAAUACUUUAAAUGUCAAUACAUAUUAUUAGCUUAGUUGAUAAAUACAAGUUGCUUCCUCGUACAGAAAUCGCGUGUCUAAGGGCCUCAAGCGAUGCUUUAAUGGUAUAGUAUAAGAUAGUUUGAACAACCAAACAUGGAAUAGCACCAAAUAAAGUAUAAGAUAGUUUAUGCUCAGCACGCCAUUGAUUCCUUAGACUACAAAGACCAGUAACUUCCCAAUGUACCCAGCAAUUGGGCUAGUUUUUUGUGGAUUUUCACUUAAAUGAAUUAUAUUUAAUCCGCUCAACUUUAGAUUGGAUUGAUUUUAGAUUAGGUCAUAUUGAGUCAUCUCAAAUCCAUAAUCAAAACAUUGUCCAACAUAUUAAUUAAUACAUUGUGAUGUUUUAUAAACUUUCUCUUGUACAUUUACACAUACAAAAAGAUUUUAUUCACACAUAUAAAUAUAUUUUCACAUACAUAAAUAUAUUUUCACACACUCACUACCUAAGUUCUUUGGAAACACAUCAUAAAUAGAAUAAUAUUUUAUAUUGCCUGUAUUGCAAAAUUUGAAUAAUAAAUUGUAUAUUGAAAUAAAUUAGCUAAAAAAAUUUGUUUACCAUAUGCCUUGUAACACUACUAAUUGCUAGAAACUUAUUUUUUGUUUACCUUAUACUCGUCUUCGAUCUCCAGGUCAUUGUCAGGUGAAAGUGGCGUUCGCAUGGGUCCCGCGUAUUGUCAGAAGAUUAGCUUAAGUAGUAAUGGGUGGACUUAGAAUGGAGGGGUUCCAAAAUUGUGUCAAUUCACUUGAUAAUUCCUUAAAAAAAAAAAAAAAAUCACUUGAUAAUGCCCCGGUGAAAAAAAGUGAUAACAAAGAAGGGACUAAAUUCCUUUGAAAAAAAGGUCACUUGAUAAUGACCGAUGACGAGACUACAUCCGAGAUUUCCAUCCGAGAUUUCUCGCUUAUUUUAAAACAAAAAAUUAAAAAAGGUGCCAGACCAUCGCACCUGUUCGUAUACCUAUGUUGUAAAGAAAGAAUGCUUUGUAUACCUGAGUAACAAAAAAGAUAAUGACCCGGUGAAAGGAUGGUCAGGCAGAGCACAUACCUAGCUAGGACUUUAACUACGUAUGACGUAUCUUGUACUUGACCUAAUACUAGAACUUUAACAACAGCAUAAAUACUUUAAAAUGCCAAAUGCCAACACACAUUAGUUUGGUUGAUCAUAAGUAUAGGUGACUUCCUCGUAGCUAGAGAAAUCGUGUGUCUAAUGGUCUCAGGGGUAAAUGUUCUAGUGACAGUCAUUAGAGGCGAAAAUACCCUAAAACAAAAAACUUUAAAUAGUCAAACAUGAAAUAGCACCAAAUACUACUGUAUGAGAUAUUUUAUGCUGAGCAUGAUGCAAUUGGUUCCAUAGAUAACAAGGACCAGUAACUUCCCGACAUGAUUAAUUUAAAUGAAUUGUAAAGCCAAACUAAAAAUUCAUUUUUUUGAUGCUUUCUUCAUUUUUUUUUAAUUGUAGUCAAACCUCACGACUAAACCAAAGCAGUGCAUUAUGAUAUUUAUGUGUACAUAGAGCAAGGUACAACUAGGGGUGGAGCUGAUUCAAGUUACUCGACUCGAGCUCGAUAUGUACUCGAUCAGAAGCUCGAACUGCUCGUUAGAGCUAUCGAGUCGAGCUCGAGCUCAGAAAUUUGAUAUUCGAGAGCUCGACGAGCUCUAUCGAGUAUCACAUAAAAAAUUUUAAAAAAAAAUUAUAUAUAAAAUUACUAAUAUAGGUAAAUAAAUUCUGAGAAAUUACCGGUGAGUACCCUUAUCGAGUCGAGCUCGAGCUUUUUAAGGAUUUGAUCGAGCUCGAGCUCGAGCUGUGAUUCUCCGACUCGAUCGAGCUCGAGCUCGAGUAUAAUUAUAUUAUAGCCGAGUAGAGCUCGAGUAUAGCGGUACUCGAGCUCGACUCGGCUCGAAUACACCCCUAGGUACAACCUGACUUGGGUUCAAACUUUUUUUCUCUUACCUAUAUUUUUGGGAGUUCACUUAUAUAUAGAAAAUGACUUUGAAAAUGACGGUAACCAUGAGCUAAUUUGUAUUUGUUAUACAAGUCGUAUGCCGUUUAGAAUAAAAUUUUCUUAUUUUUAUAUCCAAUGGAUUAUAUUUGAACACUAUUAUAUACUAUCAAAAUAGAGAUCUGAGAUUGUCUGCCUAAAACAGAAAGUAGUCUAAUAAAGUCUUUCUUUAAUUUACAAACUAAACAAAUCACGAUUACUUUGAGUUAAAUUUUUCAAGUCUAACAAAGAUUAUCUAACUUUUUGCGUUACUUGAGAAAAACAAUGUAAUGGAGUUUGCUUCUGUUGAUUCUUGAACAAGUCCUUCUCCAAAAACUAAAGAUAAGGCUCUGCUAAAAAGAAUAAAAAUAAAGAAGGUAAGGUCCUCAUGUUGAAAUGAGUGAAGAUGUGGACAAAGUACCGAUUUAAAGGCGGUUCUUCACUUGACAAUAAUAUAUACGCACACUAUCACAAUGACCUGGUGAAGAAAGUGGAGCUCCAGCUCAUUGUGAAGUGAAGCUGGUGCUUGCAUGGGUCCUGCGUAUUUUGGGAACAGGGGCGGAUUUAAAGUGGGGGCACUGGCCCUUAAAUUCCUAUAAUACAUCUACAAUUUUGACAUAAUUUUAAAGGUGCCUCCAUAAUUUUUUUUAGAAAAAAUAUGAAAGAAUGGGUCACAAAAUUUAUAUCAUUCACUUUCCUCCUCUAGUUCCCAUUUUUCCACCAAUAGGGCCAAGUACCAAUUAUAUCAGUCAUUCCUUUUUGUCUCCCCUCCCCAAGUUCCCUUUACUCCUGUGGUCCCCCAUUUCCCUUCAUAAUCGGCUCCUUUUCUUCCACACUCAAGCCAACUACCUUUUCUUUUUAUCACUUCAUCCAAUUAUCAUUUACUUCCUUUGUCCCCACUCCCCAAUUUCCCUUCUCUCAUCAAUUGAUCUUCUAGGACUUGGGUCCGCCACAUUUUGCAGCUCUUUUCACCAACUUUAGGAGACCAUCAAAAUCAGGUUCUAAACAAUUACUUAUUAUUAUUAUUAUUUUAAAUUUGAUUGCAAAUAUAUUUCUAGAGUAUGAGACUAUUACUGUUUUAAAGAAAUUUAAAAAUUGAUUAGUUAAUGUAAUGACUAAUCAAUGGGUUAUUUGAUAAAUAUUUUAACUUGUGAAAUGGUGAUUUUAUGCAUGAAACUUUUUUUUUUUUGCUUAAAAAAUUAGAAAAAGAGUAGAUAAAAAAUUUUAAUAUUAUUUUUGUCUCCACUAAAAUUUUUUUCUGGCUCCGCCCCUGUUUGGGAAGAUUAGCUAAGUAGUGCUGUGGUAGAAUAUUAGAAGGUUGGGUUUCCAAAAUUGGCAUUCACUUGAUAAUGACCUGGUGCAGAAAGUCAAGACGAUCCGCACUCAUACGAACACCGUCGUCCGCUUUCUUCACCAGUCAUUGUCAAGUAAAGGUGGUGUUCGCAUGGGUCCUGCGUAUUGUCAGAAGAUUAGCUAAAUAGUAAUGUGGUAGAAUUAGAAGAGCGGGGCUCCAAAAUUGGCAUUCACAUUCACAGGAGUGUUUUGUCAUUGGAUAUUCUAUAAUUUACAUGCAUGGCUGCCUGGCUACAUGUUUUGUUUUAUAGAUUGACACUUACAGUUACAGGUGCCUGAAGGCAAUUGGCAUGGCAUGGCAGUGGCGUGUAAUUUUUUCCAGUCCUAGUGUCUGUGGCGCCCACCGGGCCACCACCUUAUCCGGUUUUUUUUUUUUUGGGGUAAUAAUUACCCUUUCCCUGGCCCCUGGGGACGCACCUACAAGGUGAGAUUCUUAGUAUGUAAAUGCUUGUGCGACGAUAUAAAUAAAGGCCCAGCCCAACACAACCGAGGUGUCUAACCCAUUGAGAAUUUUUCUUACCGGAGAAUUACCCGUCCCAGAAAUGUUGGGAGAACUCAGGCUUGCAGCUAUCAACUUCUUCUUGACCUUGAAGAAUUUCGCUCAGGGUCAGGGCUUCCCCGCAUGGAAAUGGUGGGAGUCUCGAAACGGGGCCGCCCAACAGUCGCCAACCGUGCAACUCCAACUCCAACCUGGUGCAGCAUCUCAACUUGCGGAGCAGCCGUCCCUGCCUACCUUCCGGCAACCUAAUAAUGGCGCUGAUCAGAACCCCAACUUCGUUGACUAUGUGAUGAAGAUGCAAUGGGCGUUGCUGGUCAUCGGAGUUUGUAUUGCAGCCUUUAGCGCCGCCUUGCAAGCUCUCCAAACUCCUGCACCUCUCCCUCCAACCUUUCACUGGUUUUGCAUGCUUCUGCAGCUGGCCGUUCUUGCUUUGUUGGUCUCCGUUUACAUCCGCCGCCGUUACGAGACGGCAUCUCUUGUCAUGGCACAUGUUGCAAUUUUCUUGGGCGCCACUGCAUUCAUGCUGGCCAUUGGAGUGACUUUUGCGGCUCCGCUCACUGGGAUAUCCAUCGCACUCUACUUCGUUGCAAUCCUCGCAAUCAUCUUUGCUAAUCGUUGAAUCUCCUGCUCAGGUAUUUGUUUAUUAACUUUUUCUUUUUCUUUUUGGCAUUUUUCAGCAUAUUUGAACUUGUUUUUUUAUAUACAUAUCUACCUGGCUGAUAUGAUGACGUACUACUUUUUAUAUACAUAUUUUUCAGGACGUACUACUUUGUUAUUCUCUGAAAUGCUCGAACUUCUUCGCUGAUAUGAUGACGCCAAAAGUUAAGCUCAUGUUUUUUCGCUUUGUCUUUUCAUUUGUGUGUGUGUUUUACGAAAGCGUGUAAGUCAAGACAAGAUGUUGUCGGAAAUAUGCAAGUCACGUAGUUCAUUUGCCGACUAGUCCAGUAGCAUAAUUCACCUGAUCAAGGAUGUUUUAUGAUUUCCAUGUUCGUGAUGUUCCAUUCUUGGAAUGUGAACAUCAUGCUAUAAUUGGAAUUUCUGGUUAUAUAUAAGUGCAUCUUUUCCUGUUCUGAAGAGUGUGAAGCCUAUUAUUUAUUGGAUUGAUGGCACUGAAUUAUUUAUUUCACAAAAAAGGAGAAAAAGAAGAGAGCAGAAAAUUCGAGUGUCAAUAACUAGAUUUUCUGCAACUGAUGAUUGGUUUUAUUGCAGUGCAUGCAACGACAGAAGAAAGGAUGUGGACAAUAAAUUAGGAAAAACUAGAAUUGUUAACGAUGAUUCAACUUUUUUUUAUAAAAAAAAAAUAAGAAAAGAAAAGCCAUGAUUGACUUUAUUCUCUUGAAAAAAUAAAGAGAUCUCUUCAAGAAAACUCGAAUUCAACAUUGAAGUUGAAAUUCCACAAAUCUUGUGUAGGGCAAGAAUGCACUGGAUGUACAAAUCUGAACCCAGGUAUAAUUUAAAUCUAGGCCUUCUAUCAUAGAGCUUCUGAUGAAGUAAUUAAGCACAGGAAAGCACUGAUAUGCUAGCUUUUAUCCUUCUAAUAUCUCCUGUACAUUAGAGCUUCAAGAUAAUACAUAAUAGUUCAAUAGCAUGAAAGUGCCAUUAAUACCCUGUGAUAACCGAUGAUGCAGUGCUGCCAUAAUGCUUGCUCAAGAGUACAAGUAAGAAAGCAAAAUGGCUCCUCCUCGCAGAUAAAAGAAUACUGAUGCAUUAUCUGGUAUCAUGAUUGCUUAUAAGUCGAUUCAUUACAAACAUACAAUGCCAAUAUGUAACCAAGCCUAAUUGACUGACAUCAAGGCAAACUGUAGUAUCUUCCACCAUUAAGAGUAACCUGAUAUCCAAAUUGUGUUGUAUUACAUAGAGAACAGACCAGCCUAGAAAAUAGUUGACAUGAUGACUUCCUGAAAGAAAGCAGCUCGCUGCGUUCUCUCCUCAUAAUUUUGCUCCUGAACUGCAUCUGAAAAAGAUGGUCUGUCGCUGCAAGAAGAAAAUUGAUCAGAAUUUUGUCACCCUAUCUUGAAAGUCAAGGUCGCACACAAUGGAACUCUAAUCUUUCAGACGAGUAAAAUCUUUAAAUUGCACAUUCAUUCUUGAUUAACUUCAGACAUGACAGAUUGGAUUGAAGAAAAAUUUGCACUGACAUGACAUGCUCUGCCACCAGAGCAAACAACAAAAAAGUUACGAUAUUAUUAAAUCAACUGGCACGCAGACAUACAAUGCAAUGCCACCCCAAAAUGCAACACGCUGAUUACAAUGAAGUAGUAGUAACUACCGGGCUGCAAUUAAUUCGGCGGAGGUUGCCAGAAUGUAUCAUCUAUUCUGACGGUACCCACAUCCCCCGGCCGCCCCCUCUCUCUUCCAAGCCUACAAAAUGGGCGGAUGAUGUCGCAGGCAAGCAUCGAAUCCCCAUGUAUGUGUUUUUGAAUUGUCCUACCUUUUUUGAGUAACGAAUGAGUAAAAAAUUAUUUAUCAUUCAUUCAGACAUCCGAAUAGUGUAAAAGGAUUUCCAUACUAAUAGUUGUGUUGGAAAGAUAUAUCCGAAAAGUAAGCUAUCGAGUUAACACACUAAUUAAGAGGAUUACACCAAAACCCCUUGCAAGCUCCAAUUUAGCCCAGGAUGUUUUAGUCACCAAAACAACGUUGGUCGAAACCUAUAAAAGUUGUUCUAUGCAACUUUUCAUCUAAAUCAAGUAGGCUCAAAGGCAUUUAAACCAGACAAGAAAAUUGAAACUUAAUUAAAGCAUGCUGAAUUACCUUGUAAAACACUCGACCCAGCACGAUCUGAGGAUCCUUCAUCGUCUAUCUUUUCUUGUAGAAGUUUUGAUGUAACUAGAAUUUGGUGUUGAUCUUGGUUUGGAAAACAUGGAAGGGAGGCUCAUUUUAAUAUAUUCUUCCCCUCAAUUCCUUCCUCGACUUUCCCAUCAAGCAUCAAAACAGAACACCAACCAGUUUACAACUUUCCCUUCUCUAUCUUGCACCUGCAUAUAAUUCCUUUUCAUCUAAUCAAUUGAGAUAAGCAGUAACCUUCCCCUCAAUUCUGUGGUGAACGUACUCUGUAAUAUCCACUGGAAGUCAGACAAGAAACUCGAGCAUUAUUAACAAUCUGAGGAAUAUCGUAUGGCUUUUAGUGUUGGAAUUCGGAAGUUGCUCCACCUUAUCCCCAUUACGUCAAGAAUAAAAAGAACAGCGAAUUUAAUGAAAACAAGAAGUUACAGAGGACCAAAGAUUCAGGAAAUACUAUCUAGAAUUCUUCUUCUCAGAAGCAAUCACUUUGCUCUUGUUUUUAUUCGACUUUCCAUGCAAAACUACCCUCCAGCAACAUGUGAUAACUCACAUUUGAUCUACUGACAGGUGUUCAUUUAUGCAAGUAUAUUGUGGGCUUCAACUUACUAACAAGCUAAUUAAUGUUAUUACUUGUUAAUCAAAAAUUGGUCCCAGCAGUUCAAAUUUUUUCCAGCUUCAUCUGAGUUUUAGUAACAGCACUUUGGUUUCAAAUCAAGAAGUCUAGGAAGAGAUUUAUGUGGAGAUUUUAUGAUCAAAAUAAGACACUUCUAUAUGACAUUUACUCUUUGCUGUUUUCUCGAGCUGUUCCAUUUAGAUGCUCAUCAACUAUCAUAUCCUUUUUUUUUUUUUUUCAAACUUCUCCAAGCAAAAAAUUUAAAACAGAAGCUAGUAGAACUAGAGAGCAUCUAAAUUUCUAAACUACUAUGAGAUUAAAGAUCCUCAUAGCCAUUCUUGAAAACUAUGAAUGCAAGGGCUUAAGUUACUUAUCGAUCAAAAGAUUAUGCAUCUCCCUUUUGUCAAAAGAACUAAAUACUAAGUAUAAAAUACCAACAACAAAAACAGAGAAGAUUAUGCAGAAGACUUGCACCCUGUAGAAAUGAAUUCUGAGCAGCGUACUGACUUAUACGCGUUAAGGGAUUGUGAACCUGUAACUGGGCAGACCAACAAAAUUUUUUUUGAGAGGAAUAUUUUCUGGAAUAGCAAAGCAUGCUCAGGAUGGUUCCUCAUGCGUUCAUAAGUUUCAAUCUCACUAACACUUCCCUAAAUCGGAAACAUUUCAACCAUACCACUUCCUGUAUAUUCUCCACCAUCAUCAUCACCACCCCCACCAUCUGCAGCCCUCACCAUCCACGAUCCACCACCACCACCAGUCCUUCUCCUCAACCCAUCAGAAUCACCACCAACACCAGCUUCAAUUUGAUAAGCAUCAUUAGCUGUCCUUCAUUCCAGUUCACUCUGUCAUAUUUAAAUGUUCCAGUGACUUUCUUUCUCAUAGUGUUGCUGGUUACUAAAGUUUCAUUGACAACAAGCGCCUUCUACCAUUUCCAUAUGUUCCAGCUUUAGCUGACCAGUUUUACUUGGAUUUUUUUUUCCUAUUUUGGGUUGCCGUGGAGGGAUUGGAGUGUAGGGGUGAGACAGGGUGAUCAGUAAGAAGAGGUAUUCAUAAGAUUCCACGAAAAUCAGACAAGAAAAUCGAGCAUUAAUAGUAAAAUGAUUCGGCUUCAAUCUGUAGAAUAUCUCAAGACUUCUUGAAUCGAAAUUAAAGCACCUGCUCCACCUUAUCCCAAUUAUAUAAGGAACAGAAGAAGAACAAAUUUUAAUGAAAAAACGAAGUUGUAGUGUACAAGAUGAACAGGAUUCAACUAGUACUACUUAGAACUCUUCUUUGCCAUGUGUUUUAACUCACAAUUGAUCUUCUUAUAGACAUUCCUUAAGUGUACUGUGGGCUUCAAAUUAAUGAAGUUAAUUUGAUUAGAUUUAUCCCAAAGUUAGUAAACUUCUCGCAGUUCAAAUAGCCUCUUCAGCUUCAUCUGUUUUUAAUUAACUGCAAUUUGGCUUAAAAAUCAAGAAGUCUAGGAAUAGAUUUAUGCGGAGAUCUUCUCUUAUCAAAAUAAGAUCCUGCUGUAUGAUAUUUACUCUUUUUGCUGUUUUAGCAAGCUGUUAAAAUUAAAUGCUCAUCAACUAUCAUCUCCAUUUUCUCCAUCUCCAAACAGAAAAUUUAUAAACAAACUAGGAGAACUAGAGAGCAUCCCAUGUUCUUAGAUCCUAUUAUAUUAAACAUCCUGAAUAUGAUGCUUGAAAACUAUAAAUUCAACUGUUUGAAUUUAUCAUCAAUCAAAAAAUAAUACGACCCCAUUCUAUCAAAAUGACUAACCAAAUAGAUUAAUUACCAAAAAAUAAAAGGCAGAAGAGUUGCAACUUAUAGAAUUGCAUUCUGAGCAAAAUACUGACAUGUACAUAUGAUUCUUGGGAAUAUUUUCUGGAAUAGCAAAGCAUGCUGAGGCUGAUUGCUCCCAUGUUCUUAAGUUUCAACCUGAGGAAAACUUCCCUAAAUUGAAAAUAUUGACUUCAUCAAUUCCACUUCCCAUACAUGCUCUCAUCCCUUAUGUUUCCUUAACAUUUUUAUUAACCAUAUAAUUUCGACUAAAUGUGUCAAAGCAUUGUUAUCCAAUCUAAAACUUCAUAUUUAGAUCAACCUUUCGUGUUUCUCAAAACAUAUACAUUUGCUAUUGAUAUAAAUGGAAUAGAAAAUUUAGGCACUAAUUUAGGUCAAGCCAAAGCAUACAUGGAGAUCAUCGUGUGACCAUGCAGUCAUGACCUUUAUCUCUUCGGUUAAUUGACCAUCAUAUCUACUGGAAAUUGACAGUAUAGCGUCAAAUGUAUGUUUCUGCUAGCCAUAAUCUGCUCAGACAAGCUAUUAACUGCAAACUGAAAUUCCGCCUUUUCCACGCCUAGUCCUAUAUAGGUGCUAACUUCUUGGUUUUGCCCUCCAUGUCUUGUUACAGAACACUAUAAGUAAACUUAGUAAAGUCUCAGUUUGCUUAGCAUUUUAGGCCUCAUAAUAUCCAAAGAUUCAGGGAUAUAUGAUAUAUAUUAUGCAGACUAAGUCAGCAAUAUGAAACCACCACCUGGUUAUUAGUUUUUUCCAAGCAAGUUGCAUUUGUCAGCCUAUUACUAAUAUUCUGUAAGAAUAGAGCAAACCAGCAAAUUCCAAACAGCGGAUGCUAUGGUAAUAAGAUCUCAUCUCAUGUGGCUCAUACAGUUCAAAAUUAGCCAACUAACAUUAGUAGUAUGAGAUUUAGACCUCUUCACAUGAGAUGAAAUCCAAAAUAAAGUUCAUACAUCCAUAUUGUAGUAGGUCAGACUUACCUAUCUCCUUAGCAGUUGAGAUAGCAUAACUAGAAGAUGCAUCUUUUGUGUGGUCUUUAGGAUCUGAAAAAGGUGUUGAACAAAGAAAUGUUGAUCAAGUGGAUCUGGAGCAGGUUUCAUGAAUAUCUGCACCAAGAAAUGGUGGUAAUUCCUGCAGUCCUUGCUAUUGUUGCUGAGGCAACACUCCAGAAUUCU